rnacentral:rRNA from 1 species
GACGAACCGUGCGAACGUUAUUCGGAAUCACUGGGCUUAAAGCGCGUGUAGGCGGGACGGCACGUCCGUCGCUGAAAUCCCCCGGCUCAACCGGGGAACUGGCGGGGAUACGAGCCGUCCUGGAGGGACGUAGGGGGACCUGGAACUUCCGGUGGAGCGGUGAAAGUGCGUUGAGAUCGGAAGGAACGCCCGUGGCGAAAGCGAGGUCCUGGA